rnacentral:rRNA from 1 species
GAUGAACGCUGGCGGCGUGCCUAAUACAUGCAAGUCGAGCGAACAGACGAGGAGCUUGCUCCUCUGACGUUAGCGGCGGACGGGUGAGUAACACGUGGAUCACCUACCUCUAUGACUGGGAUAACUUCGGGAAACCGGAGCUAAUACCGGCUCAUAUAUUGAACCGCAUGGUUCAAUAGUGAAUGACGGUUUUGCUGUCACUUAUAGAUGGAUCCGCGCCGCAUUAGCUAGUUGGUAAGGUAACGGCUUACCAAGGCAACGAUGCGUAGCCGACCUGAGAGGGUGAUCAGCCACACUGGAACUGAGACACGGUCCAGACUCCUACGGGAGGCAGCAGUAGGGAAUAUUGCGCAAUGGGCGAAAGCUUGACGGAGCAACACCGCGUGAGUGAUGAAGGUCUUCGGAUCGUAAAACUCUGUUAUUAGGGAAGAACAAAUGUGUAAGUAACUAUGCACGUCUUGACGGUACCUAAUCAGAAAGCAACGGCUAACUACGUG